rnacentral:rRNA from 1 species
AAUGAACGCUGGCGGCAGGCCUAACACAUGCAAGUCGAGCGGAUGAAGGGAGCUUGCUCCUGGAUUCAGCGGCGGACGGGUGAGUAAUGCCUAGGAAUCUGCCUUAAAGUGGGGGAUAACGUCCGGAAACGGGCGCUAAUACCGCAUACGUCCUUAUGGAGAAAGUGGGGGAUCUUCCGUCCUCACGCUAUCAGAUUAGCCUAGGUCGGUUUAGCUAGGUGGUGGGGUAAAGGCCUACCAAGGCGGCUAACCGUAACUGGUCUGAGAGGAUGACCAGAUACAUGGGAAGUGAGAAAGGGCCCAGACUCUGAGGGGAGGAAGCAGUGGGGACUAUUGCGCGAUGGGGGAGAGGCUGAUCCAGCAAUGCCGCGUGUGUGCAGAAGGUCUUAGGACGCUAAAGCGCUUAAGGUUGGGAGGUAGUAAAGUUCUUUUACCCCUGGUUAUUUUGACGGUACCAACAGAAUAAGCACCGGCUAACUUCGUG